rnacentral:rRNA from 1 species
GCCUAACACAUGCAAGUCGAACGGGACUUAGUGGAAAGCGGCUUCGGCCAAUGGAAGCUAAGUUUAGUGGCGAACGGGUGAGUAACGCGUGAGGAACCUGCCUUCCAGUGGGGGACAACAGUUGGAAACGACUGCUAAUACCGCAUAACAUAAUCGAACCGCAUGAUUUGAUUAUCAAAGCUUUAUGUGCUGGAAGAUGGCCUCGCGUCUGAUUAGCUAGUUGGUGGGGUAACGGCCUACCAAGGCGACGAUCAGUAGCCGGUCUGAGAGGAUGAACGGCCACAUUGGGACUGAGAUACGGCCCAGACUCCUACGGGAGGCAGCAGUGGGGAAUAUUGGGCAAUGGGGGAAACCCUGACCCAGCAACGCCGCGUGAAGGAAGAAGGCCUUCGGGUUGUAAACUUCUUUUACCAGGGACGAAGAACGUGACGGUACCUGGAGAAAAAGCAACGGCUAACUACGUGCCAGCAGCCGCCGUAAUAC